rnacentral:rRNA from 1 species
UUUAUGGAGAGUUUGAUCCUGGCUCAGGAUGAACGCUGGCGGCGUGCCUAAUACAUGCAAGUCGAGCGAACAGACGAGGAGCUUGCUCCUCUGACGUUAGCGGCGGACGGGUGAGUAACACGUGGAUAACCUACCUAUAAGACUGGGAUAACUUCGGGAAACCGGAGCUAAUACCGGAUAAUAUAUUGAACCGCAUGGUUCAAUAGUGAAAGACG